rnacentral:lncRNA from 1 species
GACAGUUUGUUUUGCUCAGUCUACUGAUCUAAUUAUUCAUCUAAUCUAAAAAAUACCUUCACAGCAACAUCCAAAUGUGUUUGACCAGCUGUCUGGGUCCUGUGGUCCCACCAAGUUGGUACAAAAAAUCACCAGGCUCUUCUCCCCAUCUCCCUAUUUUUUCACAGGUAAGGAAACUGAGGCUUAGAGAAGUAAGACAACUUGCUCAAGUCAUGCAGGAGUGUGUGAUUUAACUCAGAAGCCAUGCCUUAGCCUCCACGUUACAUUGUCAAGCCUGCUGCCCUGAUCCCACAGGCUCAUCUUCACUCCCCAGGGAAAAAGACUUGAAAUAGAUGGAUAAGAGAAUCGGUGUGUUUCAUGCACGAGCCUGUGGGAGUUGGCAUUCUGAGAGCAGCAUUCUUUCUCCCAGAGAGAAUCUGAAGGUCUGGUGUGGACCCUCCCUGAGAAGCUGCUCUGUCUCGUGGCUGAAAGCCCGUCUGCUUCCAAGGUGUGAAAUCUGUCUUUACCUUGACUCUCUGCCUGAAAAAUAUGCGGGCUCGUGUAAGAUGGGGACCUUGAGCUGUGACGGGAGCAUCUUCAAGCCACAGAGCCCGGCUGUCUCACUUUCUAGUUAA